rnacentral:tRNA from 1 species
UCCUUCAUAGCUCAGUUGGUAAAGAAUCUGCCUGCAAUGCAGGAGACCCAGGUUCGAUCCCUGGGUUGGGAA